GACGAACGCUGGCGGCGUGCUUAACACAUGCAAGUCGAACGGAAAGGCCCUGCUUUUGUGGGGUGCUCGAGUGGCGAACGGGUGAGUAACACGUGAGUAACCUGCCCUUGACUUUGGGAUAACUUCAGGAAACUGGGGCUAAUACCGGAUAGGAGCUCCUGCUGCAUGGUGGGGGUUGGAAAGUUUCGGCGGUUGGGGAUGGACUCGCGGCUUAUCAGCUUGUUGGUGGGGUAGUGGCUUACCAAGGCUUUGACGGGUAGCCGGCCUGAGAGGGUGACCGGCGACAUUGGGACUGAGAGACGGCCCAGAGUCCUACGGUAGGCAGCAGUGGGGAAUAUUGCACAAUGAGCGGAAGCCUGAUGCAGCAACGCCGCGGGCGGGAUGACGGCCUUCGGGUUGUAAACCGCUUUCGCCUGUGACGAAGCGUGAGUGACGGUAAUGGGUAAAGAAGCACCGGCUAACUACGUA
rnacentral:rRNA from 1 species